AAUAGAAGGAGGAGAGGUUUGGGAGAAGGGAAGAAAGAAAAGCAAGAAAAAAGAGGGAAAGGAAGAAAGAGGGAAAGCCACACGCACACUCUCCAUCCUGAAAAGGGUUAAUUCAGCUCCUCGUGAAAAUGUGCCCAGCAUAUAAUGGGAUUGUCUCGGCCGGCCCCCGCACCUCCCGUCCUGCAGCCCGCCGCCCAGAAGCCAUCCGGGGACAGCGCGGGUUCGUGGGGCGGUGCGGAGCGGAGCGGUGCGGAGCGGGGCCCGGCUCCCCCCGCCGCGGGCUCCAGCACCGACUCGGGGCGGCGACCGCAGUCCAGGCGCGGGGCGGACGGAACUCAGAAAUGGGUUUUUUAGCCAUUUUACUCCGAGGGUGAGAAAAUGCUCACCUUCAAUUGAGAGGGAAACGCUUUGAUGAGCAGCAGCGGCGGGCACAGCGCCUGGCGAGUUUUAUUUCACGAGCAGAAAGAAAACAGAAGUGAAGUGCUGAGGAGCUGUCGGCCCCGAUCUGUGCGAUUUGCCACCGAGGAGGGUGAAGGCUGCGGAAACUUUUCUGUUCCCGGCCCCGAAAGAACGAAGCGAGAAGCCGUUCACUUUCCCCGCUGAAGCCCAGGGGUCGCCGCCAGCCCAGCUCCCAAUAGCCGUGAAACCGAGCCGCAAUUCGGCAGAAAAGAAAAGAGUUUUUCGGAAAGCAAAAUAAAAUAUAUACACAUAAAA